CCCUUCGGGGACAAAGUGACAGGUGGUGCAUGGUUGUCGUCAGCUCGUGUCGUGAGAUGUUGGGUUAAGUCCCGCAACGAGCGCAACCCUUAUUGUUAGUUGCCAUCAUUUAGUUGGGCACUCUAGCGAGACUGCCGGUGACAAACCGGAGGAAGGUGGGGAUGACGUCAAAUCAUCAUGCCCCUUAUGACCUGGGCUACACACGUGCUACAAUGGGAAGUACAACGAGUCGCUAGACCGCGAGGUCAUGCAAAUCUCUUAAAGCUUCUCUCAGUUCGGAUUGCAGGCUGCAACUCGCCUGCAUGAAGCCGGAAUCGCUAGUAAUCGCGGAUCAGCACGCCGCGGUGAAUACGUUCCCGGGCCUUGUACACACCGCCCGUCACACCACGAGAGUUUGUAACACCCGAAGUCGGUGAGGUAACCUUUUUGGAGCCAGCCGCCUAAGGUGGGAUAGAUGAUUGGGGUGAAGUCGUAACAAGGUAGCCGUAUCGGAAGGUGCGGCUGGAUCACCUCCUUU
rnacentral:rRNA from 1 species